rnacentral:rRNA from 1 species
UACGUAGGUGGCAAGCGUUGUCCGGAUUUACUGGGCGUAAAGAGCGCGCAGGCGGUCGAGUAAGUCGCGUGUGAAAGCCCCCGGCUCAACUGGGGAGGGUCACGCGAUACUGUUCGACUCGAAGGCAGGAGAGGGUAGUGGAAUUCCCGGUGUAGUGGUGAAAUGCGUAGAUAUCGUGAGGAAGACCAGUUGCGAAGGCGACUCUCUGGGCAAUUCCUGACACUGAGGCACGAAGGCCAGGGGAGCAAACGGG